GGCUCGUUGGUUUAGGGGUAUGAUUCUUGCUUAGGGUGCGAGAGGUCCCGGGUUCAAUUCCCGGACGAGCCC
rnacentral:tRNA from 1 species